CUUUCGGUCGAGUCGCAGUAAAGUUUCGUUUGAUCGGGUAGUAAUUACCGUUUAUAAUGUGUUGUAUGUGCUUUUGUGGUUAAUAUAUUACGAUAAAGUAUUACCUAAUAAGUAGUAGGAUAAACCGAAAAGAACGCCUUUGCGAUGAAUGACAAUAGACAAAUGACUCUUUACCAAGAUCAGUUCUGUGUGUGGUAUCCUGUAAGACAUUUAAAGCCUACAGUAGUGCUUUCAUCUGAGCACCUUCGACAUAUUUCACUUUAGUUGAUUAUGGAUCGAUGUAUCGAUCUGGGCGUAAAGCUGCAAUACUAGAAACUUGAAAAGGUGCGAGGCAUGUGGCAGCAAUGACUACACUGGGGAAGAAGAAGCAUUGUGCAAUAAGAAGUCCCUGAAAACAUAUCCCCUUGAUGCCUGAAGUCCAGCUGUAAAUCUUUAGCCCAUUCCCUGUUUAGCCAUCUUAUUAAAAGAACAGACAGACAG